UGAUGGCCUAUACAUCGAGAGGG
rnacentral:siRNA from 1 species